AGUGAAUGUAAAAAUGUGGAAUGAGAGGUGAGGGGAGGAGGAUAGCUGUGUACAGAGUCCAGCCAUGGGUUCUGCCAGCACUUCCCCUACCUUGUUUUCCCCCAGGCAAGGUAAACAUGUGCAGCAGCUUUAGAUCCAUGCUGGUUGCCUCCAGGCUGCUUAAUGGCCAGUGGAAAAUGAGUGAUGGCUGUUAGCCAGCUCCAUAACCACGGGCACUCACCUUCCUAAAUCCUUGAGAUGCCUGCAAGGAGGAGGAGGAGGCUCUGCUCAGGGCUGCCCAGGGCUCCUGCUGCCCUCCAGCAGAUGAUCAGCACUGGCAAUGUAUGGAAAGACACACCAGUGACCUUGAUUUUCACUGGGGGACAUCAAAGUCAUUCCAAGUUCUCCAUUUGACUGCUCCUGUAUGGAACAAACAAAGAAAAAUAUCCACUGAUUCUGAAAACUGAAUUGUGAAUCACGUUGAUGUCUUCCUGGACCUUCUUGAUGCCUCUCUUGUCUUCCUGGACCUAGGACCAGACUUAACAUACGACAAGAUGUCUUUGGGAGCAAGGUUGAAUUACAAGGCUUUUUUAGUCACAGGAGUUGCAAACCUUCCUUCACCUGCACCCUAGAAAUGGUGGGCACCUAGAAGUUGUCAGUUCUAGGUAGGCUGACGCUUGCACAGAGGAAUUGUGGACUGUGGUGGUUUUCAGCAGAAAAGGAGAUGUUGCUAAGGGGAAUUUGUGGGUGUAUGUCCUUAACUGCAGCACAGUGACAGCUCUUCAGUUACUGCUUUUGGCACCUCCUUCUAGUCUGUGCCUGCUCUGAAGUUUACAAUUUUCAUUUGAUUGGGAAACAUUUCUGCAAGGCCUUAUGGAAAAGUCAGCUGGGUGUUUCAUGCUGCUCCCUGCCAGGACCUAAGCACCAACACAGAAUUUUCCUGGUAUUGGUUAACACCAGUAACAAAGUACCAGCUGGUGUCUUCAGCACCUCAUGCAGAAAUUAAAACAAAUAUCUUAUAUUUCAGAAAACAGAUUGAAAAGGAAUAUAAGGCUGCAUGUUCUAGGGGCUGACUAAGAAAAUGAAUGCACAUGUUGAAUGUCUCAUGAAGAAAUGUGGAUGAGACUUCCCUGAAAGAGAGAAACUGUAGAGGAACCCAAAUACUUCAAACUUCAGAUACUACAGCCUUGAACAGCCUGGGAUGAGGUGUUGAGCAACACAGAGGCAGGAGAUCAUGGGGGGAACCUCUGUUCAGAUCACACCUGCAUUGAGAUGAGUUUUAGUUAUUAUUAUUUUAGAGUGUAGCUGCCAACUUAGCUCAAGCUAAUGUUGGUGAGAAAAUAGUCGUUAAUUCAAGGAGACUAUAGAUUUUCUUAAAUUAAUUAGCUGCUCAUUGAGAGUUGAAGAGAACAUAACUAAAAAUAAUUACAUAUGAAUUAUGAAGUUCAAAUAGAAUGUGUUACUUUGCUCACACAAAACUUCAAGGGAGACAAAUCAGCGAGGUUUAUUAGCAUAUUCUACUUUUUCCACAAACCUUACAAGGAAAGGAAAAUAUAAUAAUGUAAAGGAGUUGAAGAUUCAUGUUUCUAUAAUAGCUGUGUCUGCACCAUCCUACCUGUGAAAUUUAUUCUCUGUGGGUGGUGAUGCUGUUGAAUAGUUUUUAUUUCUCAGCCAUCUUUUUUUUCCCCUCUAAGCAGUUUUUUUGUGCAUGUCUAUUAACAUACCAUCCUCUCCUCCCUAGAACUCUCUUCAGCUGCACUACACCUGAACCAGGGGUCUUGCAGGGAGCAAAGGGCAGCACGCAAAACUGAGCAUAAACACACUUCCAAAAAUUCAUUUUUAUUUGAGCUCGUUCACUCUAAUUGUUCUCUCGAGGCUUGAUUUGGAGCACAGAGAAACCCAAAGGGGACUCACUGGGCUGUGGGUCAGUUUUCAGGUCACCUGUACAUGGCAAGUGGUGAAUAAUGAGCAGCACAGUGCCAGCCCCUUCGGCCUGACCCUGAGGAUGGAGGGAAGAAUUUGGCCACUGAUCUCCUCCAGUGCAGUCCCAGGGAUGGAGGGGAGCCCAGCCAGCCACUCCUUCUGCAGCUAAAGGCAGCCACAGACCUCAAUGCUCAGCAGGCUGGGACAUCAGCAUGUCUGAUCCAAGACUGGGGAUUCUGAACAUCACCACAGUAAUCAUGAUAAAGAAGGGGCAAAAGGAGCAUCCUGGCAGCACAAGAGAGAGAAACCUUCCAGGGUUCAGCUGACAGGUGGAUGUGACAGCAACAGGCUCAGUCUGAAAGAAAUGCACCUUCCCAAGCAUGAACAGCAACCAGAUGAGAUGUGUUGGUGCACCUGUCAAGAGCCCACUCUGGAACAGAAGAUCAGAGCGAAUGGGGGCUGAGGAGAACAAAAGCUGACCCAAACCUUUGACCUAAAUUUAACAUAAAGCCAAAAGAAACCUUAGAGCAUUUCCCAUUCCGUGAGCUGAGAGGGACCCGUACUGAUGGGACUGCUCCCCAGUUAUGGGGAUGGGCUACAUGAUGAGGAACAGAAGUUCUAUGUCCAUGCAACACGUACAGCAUCAAAUCUCAAGAGCAAUGCUCUAUUAGAGCACUGUCACAAGGACAUGCCAGGGACUGCCCAGAGACAAACAGAAAAUGAAAUGUAAGUGAUGCAGGGAAGCCAAGCCUGCUGUUAAUAGGCCAGCUUAUUUCAGACAUACUUGUCCCACCAUCAUCCUUCUGAAAUAUUUUAAUAGAAUCCCUGUGCAAAGGGAGACCUUAAUAAGAUGCCUAUUCCUGCCCUUCCUGAAACCACCACGUUCAUUUUUCAUCAAAACAUUCAACUGUGGUAACUUUUGGCUUUUAAUCUGAUUUAUGACCCUUUGAGAUGCCAUUGAGGUUAUAGUUGAGGCCCUUAAACUGGACAAAAUUAGUACCAAAUAUAAAUUUAAUUUGGUGAACUUAUGAUAAAAAUUAUAGAGAAAAAUCAGCACUGACAGGACAACUCUUACAUGAAAAAUUAUACUGAAAUUAGCAGAGUCCUCUGCAUCUAUACACAUUUCUUCUAGCAGAUAUUCUGCCUGUCCUCCUUUGGGGCAACUACUUUUGAUCAAAAUGCUGCAGACAAAAAAGGUGGUCCUCAUUUUGUAGUGCUUGUUUUAGGUGAACAAAAUUGUCUUCUGUCUUUAGAUAUUUAAUGACUAUUUGAAAGCAACUUGAUGAAUAGAAGACCAUGUACUCCCACUUGGGGCAAAUGUAUUUUUCAGUGAUUUAUAAUAAUUAAUCCUUGUCUAAAUGGAAUGCAUUAAUUUCUCCUACUGGUGGUGAGUGUACUUCUGUUUCUUUUCCUAAGUGAGAUGGUUCUGCUCUAGAGGCAUAUUUCCUGAUUAAAUUGGACUGCAACCGGGUACUUAGGUUAUGUCACUGUUACCCAAAUGAUCUUUUAAAGAACACAGAGUACUUGUUUUUGCUUCUCUUGCGUGCUCCACAUUUAAUCACAGAUCUUUGUAGCUUGUUAUUUCUAAAAUUCAGAUUACUGUGACUUAAAAGCCUCUCUGUCCUUGCCAGUGCUUGGUGACAUAAAAUAAACCCACAUAUUAAGAAAAGAACCACAAAGCUUGUCAAGCUGCACUGAGGAAUGGAAAGGAAAAGCAAGAAUGCUUUACAGCCUUUCGAAAACGCCGUCUGCAGCACAGCUAUAAAGGGAAAUGCUGUAAUAAGUUGAUAUUAUCCAUGUAGGCAGAACUGCAUUUCUGAGAGGGCUGUUACCCACAGCAGUGCCCCUGGGGCACCCUGUUGAGUGUGGUGUCCCAGGGCACGGGUGAGGCACAGACACCCAGCAGGAGCAGGUUCAUGCCCUGAGGAACGUGCAAUUGCCACUGGGCAGCAGGAGUGGGUAGGGGAAAACAGAGGGAAAGAUUCCCCACCAGUCUCCUGCUGCUCCUUGGCGAGAACAGCCACCAAACCCCCGUUUGCUUCUCCCCACCCUUCUGUGGGCUGGUCGACACCCUCGGGCCCACUUGUGGCUGGCCCUGAGCCACCAGCACAGAGCAGAGUGUCUGUUGCCGUUUUCCUCCCACUGCCUCCUCAUCCUCCUCCUGGUCACUGGGGACUGCAGCGGGAUGGAGACAGAGCUGGCAUGGCCUCAGCGCUUGAUGGACUGAAGCGCUCCAAGCAAGUUCCUUUUUUAGUAAAAUUGCUUUGUUCCAAAAGCGCUGCACAGCAAAGCCCGCUCACCCCGUGCCUCCCUCCCUGCUCUCGGCCUGCUGGAGGUGCCAGGGUGAUGUGUCAGAAAUAUUCCUCUUCCCUGGAGAUGGAACACCUCGGGUCUGGCACCCUGUGUCCCAUACCCCAGUUCAGUGUUAGGUUUCCCCAGGACAAGUGUCCUGUCCUCCAGCCCCAUCACGUCCCUCUCUGGUGAGGCCUGGUGGCAGCAUUGCUCCUUUGUUCUUUUAAAACAUGGCAUCUAAGGAAUGGACAGAAACCAACAGCUCUUUUUUUUUUUCUUUUUGGCCUGGGAUAACAAAUAGCUUGUGUGCAGCUGUAAAACACUGCACUUGGGCAGGGUUUUGCUGGCUGCAGGAUGAAGGGCUCUGCACAUCUUCAUUAGUUCCUUCCACAGCCAGUUUAGCCUUUUGCUUGCUGCUCCUCCACAGCCCACAGUGGUGCUUCUGGGGCAUGGCUGGGUGCCAGGGAGGAAAUUUAUACCAAGUGGUGAUGGGGCCAACUACCUGUCUCUGAGUUUGGUUGUGCUCCAUUCCCAGUUCUGAUGCCUUCCAGUUUCAGAUAGGGAUUUGGCCCUAAGUCUUUGCCAGUGUUGCAUCACAUGAACUUGUGGUGAAAAUUUCCACAUUUCCUUGUCCAGACAAACAGCUCUUCCAGGCCAGAUAAUAGUUUGGGAUGGGGGUGACUGAUACCAAGCUGGCCUCAAUGGAGAUGCCCAAGGAAGGCAGUGUGCACAAGGGUUGUGAGGAGUGAGUGGGUGGACAGAGACCAGAACCAGGUAAAAGGGGCUUUAGUUAGAAUAUGGGUGUCAGGGAGAUGUUGGGAGCUAAUGAGCUGCUAACAAGGCUGAUAAAGAAAGUGUGGAGAUAAAUACAAUGAGAAUUAAGCAGGACAGAUGGUUGGACACUGGGUUUGGGGAUCUACAAAGACAUAUACAGUGAACAUAAAACUGGAAUGGAAUUAGGGUGGACAGGACAAUCUUACAUAAGAGAUGAGGUUGCAAGGAGGGGCUGCAGGUAAGAAGGGGCAGACUUACAUUCAAACAUUUAAUGAACUACUGUUUCCUAUCAGCAGUUGUUUUUUCCAGUGUCUGUUUGGAGCUCCUGGUUUAGCUCUGAGCCCUGGCAAACGGUCCCUGCCUCUCCCAUUCCAGAGGCCACCUGCAUCUCUGUUAGAACAUAGAGAAGGUGCCUCCACAUGCACUGUCUGUGUGGCUGCAUGAGCAGUGAGAGUGGGUGAGAGUGACUCUGGUUUGGGGGAAUCAUGUGCUGCACAGUGAUGCCAUCCUUGGUGAUGUGACAGGGUAUUGCUGGGUGUUGAGGCAGGAUUUGUAUUUUUCUUUAUAUUUUGUUUAUUUAUUUCUAAAUAAAUAGUCUCCUGCCAUGCUGGCUGGCUCUGCUCUAGUGCUAGAUCUCAGACAUAGCAUGUUAUCUUCCAGAUUCCUCUUCCUGGGUGAUGGAAGGUGAGUGUGGGACCUCAAGGCAAGGCAAGAUGUCCUGUGAUUUAGGUCUCUUGAAUCUGAAUGCCCUCCCAAUGAACUGGGUUCAGUUUCAUCACUUACCCGUGAUUAAGGUCUCUUGCAUUUGAAUGCCUUCCCAAUGAACUGGGUUCAGUUUCCUCAGUUACCCGAAUUAAACUCUUUCAGGAUGGUUCCUUCUGUGGUUUUGGCCAAGGACUGGGGUUUCAAGCAGAUGUUGCAUAUUCCCAGUUGAAAUAGAUAUUAGUGAUAGCUGAGUCUUACACAUACAGUGUAAAGGCCCUUGUAAAGGUUUUUGGACACCCUAACAUUUCUGAAACUUUAUUUUUAUUAUUUCUCACCCCCUCCCUGUUCUCACAACAUGUGAUUUAGCUGGAGGAAUACUUUUGUCGGUUUUGCAUGAUCCACUUACGAGAAAUACAGAAAACCCAUGAAGAUAUGAACGAUUUUCUCUUAAGUGCUCAAGCAACAGGCAGCAAGUAGUAAACAGCAAGUAGAGAACCAAAAGUAAGAUCAUUAACUUGCGUCUUCCACACUGUGCAAAUGAAGGACAGAAAAUUCCUAGGAAAAUCUCUGGGAAUUUAGCUGCACUUCCUUAACUCCAGUGUGAGGACAGUGUUCUGUCUAGGUAAGGUCCCAUUUGGACUUCUCAUUUGACAUGGGAUUGUAUU